AGGACGAACGCUGGCGGCGUGCUUAACACAUGCAAGUCGAGCGGAAAGGCCUUUCGGGGUACUCGAGCGGCGAACGGGUGAGUAACACGUGAGUAAUCUGCCCAUCGCUUCAGGAUAGCCAUCGGAAACGGUGAUUAAUACUGGAUAUGACAUUCCUUCGCAUGUUGGGGUGUGGAAAGUUUUUUCGGCGGUGGAUGUGCUCGCGGCCUAUCAGCUUGUUGGUGGGGUAAUGGCCUACCAAGGCUUUGACGGGUAGCCGGCCUGAGAGGGUGACCGGCCACACUGGGACUGAGACACGGCCCAGACUCCUACGGGAGGCAGCAGUGGGGAAUAUUGGACAAUGGGCGAAGCCUGAUCCAGCAACGCCGCGUGAGGAUGACGGCCUUACGGGUUGUAAACCUCUUUCAGCACAGACGAAGUUUUGUCUUUUGGUGUAGUGACGUAUGUGCUAGAAGAAGGACCGGACAAC
rnacentral:rRNA from 1 species